AUUGAACGCUGGCGGCAUGCCUUACACAUGCAAGUCGAACGGUAACAGGUCUUCAGAUGCUGACGAGUGGCGAACGGGUGAGUAAUACAUCGGAACGUGCCCAGACGUGGGGGAUAACGAGGCGAAAGCUUUGCUAAUACCGCAUACGAUCUAAGGAUGAAAGCAGGGGACCGCAAGGCCUUGCGCGUUUGGAGCGGCCGAUGGCAGAUUAGGUAGUUGGUGGGAUAAAAGCUUACCAAGCCGACGAUCUGUAGCUGGUCUGAGAGGACGACCAGCCACACUGGGACUGAGACACGGCCCAGACUCCUACGGGAGGCAGCAGUGGGGAAUUUUGGACAAUGGGCGAAAGCCUGAUCCAGCAAUGCCGCGUGCAGGAUGAAGGCCUUCGGGUUGU
rnacentral:rRNA from 1 species